rnacentral:rRNA from 1 species
GGAUGCGAUCAUACCAGCACUAACGUACCAGAUCCCAUUUGAAAUCCGAAGAUAGUGUGUGCUUGCGCGAGACUAGUACUAGGAUGGGUGACGCUCUUGAUGUUGCAUUUC